AACGAACGCUGGCGGCAUGCCUAACACAUGCAAGUCGAACGAGACCUUCGGGUCUAGUGGCGCACGGGUGCGUAACGCGUGGGAACCUGCCCUUAGGUUCGGAAUAACUCCCCGAAAGGGAUGCUAAUACCGGAUAAUGUCUUCGGACCAAAGAUUUAUCGCCUUUGGAUGGGCCCGCGUUGGAUUAGCUAGUUGGUAGGGUAAAAGCCUACCAAGGCGACGAUCCAUAGCUGGUCUGAGAGGAUGAUCAGCCACACUGGGACUGAGACACGGCCCAGACUCCUACGGGAAGCAGCAGUGGGGAAUAUUGGACAAUGGGCGAAAGCCUGAUCCAGCAAUGCCGCGUGAGUGAUGAAGGCCUUAGGGUUGUAAAGCUCUUUUACCCGGGAUGAUAAUGACAGUACCGGGAGAAUAAGCUCCGGCUAACUCCGUG
rnacentral:rRNA from 1 species